rnacentral:rRNA from 1 species
GACAGAGGCCCCAAGCGUUAGGCGGAAUCACUGGGCUUAAAGCGUGUGUAGGCGGAUCGUUAAGUGUCUUGUGAAAUCCCACGGCUCACCCGUGGAACUGCUGGGCAUACUGGCGAUCUUGGGCCAACUAGGGGCAGCCGGAACAAGCGGUGGAGCGGUGAAAUGCGUAGAUAUCGCUUGGAACGCCAAAGGUGAAAACAGGCUGCUGGGGUUGUGCCGACGCUGAGACGCGAAAGCCAGGGGAGCGAACGGG